rnacentral:rRNA from 1 species
GAUGAACGCUAGCGGCAGGCUUAACACAUGCAAGUCGAGGGGUAUAGUUCUUCGGAGCUAGAGACCGGCGCACGGGUGCGUAACGCGUAUGCAAUCUACCUUUUGCAGAGGGAUAGCCCAGAGAAAUUUGGAUUAAUACCUCAUAGUAUGUGAGAAUGGCAUCAUUUUCACAUUAAAGUCACAACGGCAAAAGAUGAGCAUGCGUCCCAUUAGUUUGUUGGUAAGGUAACGGCUCACCAAGGCAACGAUGGGUAGGGGUCCUGAGAGGGAGAUCCCCCACACGGGUACUGAGACACGGACCAGACUCCUACGGGAGGCAGCAGUGAGGAAUAUUGGACAAUGGGCGCAAGCCUGAUCCAGCCAUGCCGCGUGCAGGAUGACGGUCCUAUGGAUUGUAAACUGCUUUUGUACAGGAAGAAACACUGGUUCGUGAACCAGCUUGACGGUACUGUAAGAAUAAGGAUCGGCUAACUCCGUGCCAGCAGCCGCCGUAACAC